AAAUACUGUACCAAAAAGUUUUGUUGUUUUCAUAACGUUAACUAUGGCUUACAGUUUGAUCGAGCCUUAUAUGAUCCAGAAUCAGACUGUAGUAGAGCAAGAACCACAGCAGCAACGACUACAGAUGGACGUCUCUUUAUGGUGUAAAUGCCUUGGUGCAUUACAAUGCCAACAGAGGCCGAAAAUGUGUGCUGUCAAGAAAUAGAGAAGGUAAGGACAAGAAUACUUCAGGCACCAACCUCUCUGCAAUGUAUGACUGAACAUCCUGGACUGAACUUGCCUGAGUGUCUCUACACUGCAGAACAUAAAUAAUAUUUACAGAGCUGACUAUGGCCCACUCAGAAGGAGAACGGAGUAGGAACGUUUCAGGUAUUUGGCCUAUCGCAGUUUUGCCAGCUGGUGCUGGGGAUAUCUUGGCAGACAUGUGCGUGUGGUCAUUCCUGCAUGUGUUGUCCAGCGGAUUCGCCAGGAGUUU